GACGAACGCUGGCGGCGUGCCUAACCCAUGCAAGUCGAACGAGCAGAAACCUUCGGGUCGAAGCGAGUGGCGGACGGGUGAGUAACGCGUGAACAACCAACCCUGCACAGGGGGACAACAGCUGGAAACGGCUGCUAAUACCGCAUAAGACCACAGAGUCGCAUGGCUUAGGGGUCAAAGGAGAAAUCCGGUGCAGGACGGGUUCGCGUCCCAUUAGCUAGUAGGUGGGGUAACGGCCCACCUAGGCAACGAUGGGUAGCCGAGCUGAGAGGCUGAUCGGCCACACUGGGACUGAGAUACGGCCCAG
rnacentral:rRNA from 1 species